AUUGAACGCUGGCGGCAGGCCUAACACAUGCAAGUCGAACGAGUGGCGGACGGGUGAGUAAUGUCUGGGAAACUGCCCGAUGGAGGGGGAUAACUACUGGAAACGGUAGCUAAUACCGCAUACCAUCGGAUUUGCCCAGAUGGGAUUAGCUAGUAGGUGGGGUAACGGCUCACCUAGGCGACGAUCCCUCGCUGGUCUGGGAGGAUGACCAGCAAAACUGGAACUGAGAAACGGUCCAGACUCCUACGGGAGGCAGAAGUGGGGAAUAUUGCACAAUGGGCGAAAGCCUGAUGCAGACAUGCCGCGUGUAUGAAGAAGGCCUUCGGGUUGUAAAGUACUUUCAGCGAGGAGGCGUUACUCGCAGAAGAAGCACCGGCUAACACCGUGCCAGCCGCCGCGGUAAUUC
rnacentral:rRNA from 1 species